UUAUUUACCUGGCAGAGCGAGACCAUGAUCACAAAGGUGGUUUUCCCAGGGUGAGACUUAUCCAUUCAUUGUACUCUGGAUGUGCUGACCCCUGCGAUAUCCCCAAAGGUCAGAAACUCAACUAACCGCUUCAUUUGUGUUGGUUGGGGGAUGGGGGGGCUGCAUUUGUGCUCUCCCUGG
rnacentral:snRNA from 1 species